GCGCGGUUAGCUCAGUGGUAGAGCAUUACCUUGACACGGUAGGGGUCGGGAGUUCGAACCUCCCAUCGCGCACCA
rnacentral:tRNA from 1 species